AUUUUAGAGAAUAGACAAAGUUCAGAUUUCAGAUUUACAGGCAGGUGUCACAAAAACACAGUUAUUUAGAGAAACACCAGUAAAGCAUGAUAAACUGUUUAGCCAUAUUCUGCCUCAACAUAUUACACCAAAUAAAUCAAUGAAUCAGAGAUAUUGUGGGCGGUCAGUUAAAGAUAGUGAUAAUAGUAGUUGACCUUGAACUGUUAUUGUCUGCCUACUAGAUCUACCUGCAGACAGAUUAGAUAGACAGGUACAGCUGACCGAUAGUGCAAUCUAUCAUACUCUGCUCACAAAUUGCCUGUUACUACUGGAGUCAUGUCAGUAGGCCACUUCCUGCCAGUAACCAUUUGAUUAUUAAAUCUUAUUAUUAUUUGUUCUUCACAGACUACUUUUCAAAUAGCAAUUCCAAUUAAAAUAGUGAGUGUUACUGUAAAUGGUUAAACUGUGGACUGUCCCAAAACUCUUUAGUUCACUAUUAAAAUUUUGCUUCAACCAUGUGGUUUUAUCUCCUAGAAGACCAUUCUUCUGCGCUGCACCGAUGGUCUUCAAACUCUUUGCCCAAGUAGGCUAGCAUAAACCGGAUGGGCUCACCAAGGCAUCUGGCAGGAAAAUAGGAAUAUGUAAUGCCGGCCUUUGAAGACUCAUGCCAGAGGACUGUGUUUACUUGGAUUUAUCCGAAGCCUUCAACAAAGUGAUCCACCAGUUGCUAUCUUAGUACACAAUUAAAAAAUUCAGCAUUUGGUUUUCUCCUCAGGUUACUGGCAGUGACUGUUCUUGAGCGAAGCUUCUGACUUAAUGUAGUUUUAAAAUACGGUAAUUUUUAAUAAAUCAGUUUUAUUCCAGUUAAGUAAAUAUUAUAUCAUUUGACAAUGUCUUUUUAUCAUUUAAUUUACUGUACUUAAUUUCAUUUGUAGCCAGGAAAAAAGUUUUGGGGGGUCCAUACAACAGAGUAAGGCCCCAUUCCAUUACUUAAAAAGUUCGUGACGUGUUUCUUUGUUGAGAACGAUCUUUCAGCAGUACAUCAGCAAUACUGAAUUUAUUUAAAUAAUAAUAAUAAUUGUUUACUAAAACAGUAAUCAAAAAUUUGGGGGUGUUCCGAACCCCUUAAACUCUCUCACUGGCUACAUCCUUACAUCACAAGACGGACAGUGUAAAAAAUUAUUGCCCUUUUUCAAAAAGUGAUUGCUACAGAGCAAAGGUUCUUGUACUUACCUCAAUGUUAUACUUACUCUGGAGGUACGCUAACUUUGAUCCUUGUACACUCUUGUAAUCUUUUCUUUCAAGCACAUGGAAAUCUGGUAAAAGUAGCAACACUCAUUCUUAGAUCAGUUCUUUGGGUUGCAGAAUUGUUUUUACAAAGGUCUUUAAAAUGAGCCACUAGGGGGUUUACAUUUAAAAAUUUAACUUAUUCCCUCCAUCAAUCUUAACAAAAAUUUCUCAAUUAUUGGAGCGUUUGUUGAUAUGUGUGUGUUCAGAAAUUAAUAGAGGGGGUGGACUUGGUGUAAUAAAAAGUUAAAAGUAUAUUUACAUUUUUAAGAUCAUUUUGUUUUGAAAUUCUUUAAAACGCAAUAGUAUAAGAAAUAGUAGUAUUUUUAACUAGCCCUGGAUUUAAUCGCGCCAGCAUGCAAAUAAAAGUAUCACAAUAAUAUAAAUGCCUCAUUCUUUUCAGUAAUAGUUUUUUCUAAUCUUGAGAAAAAUAAUAUAAAGGAAAAUAAUUUUAAUAGCAGAAUCAACAGAGACAAACUUUAUUGAUUUAAAAACAUAAAUAAAAAAUCAUUGGUUUAUAAUACAAGCUAACAGUUUUAUCACUGUAAAUCUAUCUGAUCUAAAAAAAAAUCAAGAAAACAGAUCAGACAGAUUUUUUCAUAUAUAACAG